GUCACGCCCGAAGUCGUUACCCCAACUUUUCGGAGAGGGGGAUGCCGAAGGCAGGUCUGGUGACUGGGGUGAAGUCGUAACAAGGUAGCCGUACCGGAAGGUGUGGCUGGAUCACCUCCUUUUAGGGAGACCGAAUCCACUCAAACAUCGAAAACAAAUUGUGAUUAGAUACUGAGUUGGUCAUUCCUAGGUCGGUCGCGAGUAUUUGUUGAGCUUUCAAACUAUAGAUUUGGUUCGGAUAAUGGGCUAUUAGCUCAGGUGGUUAGAGCGCACCCCUGAUAAGGGUGAGGUCCCUGGUUCGAGUCCAGGAUGGCCCACCUGAAAUCAGUUAACAGUCAACAGUCAACAGUGGUCAGUAAAAAACUUGAUAACUGGUAACUGAUAACUGAUAACUGACUGAUGGGGGUUUAGCUCAGUUGGUAGAGCGCCUGCUUUGCAAGCAGGAUGUCAGCGGUUCGAGUCCGCUAAUCUCCACCUUGUGUAAAAUCGCAAAAAAAUCAUAUCGUUAAUUGUCAAACCAGACAAAAAAUAGAUAUAAUAAUUUUUGUGGUCGUUAGCACAGUAUGAUAAAAUAAUAGAUCGGGGAAGAUUCAGCAAUUGAUUGAUAGAACAAUCGAACUGCUGGGUGAUUAUCCAGCCAGAACCUUGAAAACUGCAUAGUAACGCGAAAAAAAGCAGGCAGACGAAUUGGAGUCCUGAGUGCUUCGAGACUGAGUGCUGAGUCAAAUCAGUGCCAAGAAAGAAGUAAACAGAACGAAGAAAAGUUUGCAGAAAAACACCAAUGUAAAUGUGGUCAAGCUAAUAAGGGCUUACGGUGGAUACCUAGGCACACAGAGG
rnacentral:misc_RNA from 1 species